GAUGAAGAACGCAGCGAAAUGCGAUACGUAAUGUGAAUUGCAGAAUUCAGUGAAUCAUCGAGUCUUUGAACGCACAUUGCGCCCCCUGGUAUUCCGGGGGGCAUGCCUGUCCGAGCGUCAUUGCUGCCCUCAAGCACGGCUUGUGUGUUGGGCCUCCGUCCUCCUCCCGGGGGACGGGCCCGAAGGGCAGCGGCGGCACCGCGUCCGGUCCUCGAGCGUAUGGGGCUUCGUCACCCGCUCUUGUAGGCCCGGCCGGCGCUUGCCGACACAUCAAUCUUUUUUCCAGGUUGACCUCGGAUCAGGUAGGGAUACCCGCUGAACUUAAGCAUAUCAAUAAGCGAGGA
rnacentral:misc_RNA from 1 species